rnacentral:rRNA from 1 species
AGUCUGGUGCCAGCAGCCGCGGUAAUUCCAGCUCUCAAAAUGCAUAGAAUCAUUGCUGCGGUUAAAAAGCUCGUAGUUGGAUCUGUGCUGGCGGGUCGGUCCACCUUCGGGUGCGCACUGAUUUCGCCGGCUUUCCUGCUGUAUUUGGCCCUGUGCCUUUUCAACGGGUGCAGUGUCCAGUGCAGCAAGUUUACCUUGAACAAAUCAGAGUGCUUCAAACAGGCGUUUCGCUUGAAUGUUCGUGCAUGGAAUAAUAGAAGAGGAUUUCGGUUCUAUUUUAUUGGUUUUAUAGACUGAGAUAAUGGUUAACAGAGACUAACGGGGGCAUUAGUAUUGCUACGUGAGAGGUGAAAUUCUUGGACCGUAGCAAGACUGACUACAGCGAAAGCAUUUGCCAAGAAAGUCUUCAUUAAUCAAGAACGAAAGUCAGAGGUUCGAAGGCGAUCAGAUACCGCCCUAGUUCUGACCGUAAACGAUGCCAACUAGUGAUCCGCCGGUGGAACAUUCGCCCUGGUGGGGAACUUCCCGGAAACAAAAGUCUUCCGGUUCCGGGGGAAGUAUGGUUGCAAAGCUGAAACUUAAAGGAAUUGACGGAAGGGCACCACCAGGAGUGGAGCCUGCGGCUUAAUUUGACCCAACACGGGAAAACUCACCCGGCCCGGACACCGUAAGGAUUGACAGAUUGAUAGCUCUUUCAUGAUUCGGUGGAUGGUGGUGCAUGGCCGUUCUUAGUUCGUGGAGCGAUUUGUCUGGUUUAUUCCGAUAACGAGCGAGACUCUGGCCUACUAAAUAGUUUACACAUUGCUUCUGUGUGCAUAACUUCUUAGAGGGAUUUUCGGUGUUCAGCCGCAAGAAAUUGAGCAAUAACAGGUCUGUGAUGCCCUUAGAUGUCCGGGGCUGCACGCGCGCUACACUGGCAAAAUCAGCGUGCUUGUCCUUCCCCGAGAGGGGUUGGUAAACUCGUGAAAAUUUGCCGUGAUUGGGAUCGGAAAUUGCAAUUAUUUUCCGUGAACGAGGAAUUCCAAGUAAGUGCGAGUCAUCAACUCGCGUUGAUUACGUCCCUGCCCUUUGUACACACCGCCCGUCGCUGCCCGGGACUGAGCCGUUUCGAGAAACUUGGAGACCGCUGAUCUGGUAACUUCGAUUGCCAUUUUGGUGGGAACCAAUUUAA